GGGAGGCAGCAGUGAGGAAUAUUGGUCAAUGGACGCAAGUCUGAACCAGCCAUGCCGCGUGAAGGAUGAAGGUCCUCUGGAUUGUAAACUUCUUUUAUGGGGGACGAAACCCGGAUAUUCUUAUCCGAUUGACGGUACCUCAGGAAUAAGCACCGGCUAACUCCGUGCCAGCAGCCGCGGUAAUACGGAGGGUGCAAGCGUUAUCCGGAUUCACUGGGUUUAAAGGGAGCGUAGGAGGGCAGGUAAGUCAGUGGUGAAAUCCCCGUGCUUAACAUGGGAACUGCCGUUGAUACUAUCUGUCUUGAAUGCCGUGGAGAUGAGCGGAAUAUGUCAUGUAGCGGUGAAAUGCUUAGAUAUGACAUAGAACACCGAUUGCGAAGGCAGCUCGUUACACGAACAUUGACUCUGAGGCUCGAAAGCGUGGGGAUCAAACAGGAUUAGAUACCCGGGUAGUC
rnacentral:rRNA from 1 species